rnacentral:rRNA from 1 species
GACGAACCGUCCAAACGUUAUUCGGAAUUACUGGGCUUAAAGGGUGCGUAGGCGGUGCGGAAAGUUGGGUGUGAAAUCCCUCGGCUUAACCGAGGAACUGCGCUCAAAACUACCGUGCUGGAGGAAGACAGAGGUGAGCGGAACUAAGGGUGGAGCGGUGAAAUGCGUUGAUAUCCUUAGGAACACCGGUGGCGAAAGCGGCUCACUGGGUCUUUUCUGACGCUGAGGCACGAAAGCUAGGGGAGCGAACGGG